AAAAAGGGUGUUUGCCGCUUCGAUGGCACGCGCGCCGGCCACGGGGCGUGGGGUAUGGCCAUCAAGACAUACUCAACACGUAAUUUUUUGUUCGGAGAGGCAGUUGGCUACCCAUAAGUACCGGCGCCUCC